AGAAGCCUCCCCUUCAACCACAGCAACACCGCUAAAGAAUAAAUUUACAGAGUUGUGUAUAAAAAAAAUAAAUUUCAUGUUCAUGAAAUGGUUCAAAAUUUAAAGCUUUGAUGACAAGAAAAUUGAUCGGUCUCAGAACCAAAUUUGAUACUUGAAUUCUGAGAUACAAACCAUAAUCACAGUCACGAAAAGCUUAAAAGGAAAUAAGAUUUUAAAAGGGACAACAUGGCAACAACUCUCCUAGUGCCCAAUGGUAGUAGCAAGCCACCAGAUGAAGUGGUGGUAGUAAUGAAAUGAGAUAGCAUGUCAGCAAUGACAGCAUUUGUAAUGCAAAAAAAAAAAAUUUGCCAGUAAUGGUGGUGGGAAACAUUUCAGUAUGGCAGAAGCAACGUUUGCUGCUAUCAGGGAUGAAGGUGGUGCUCGUUGUGAAAAAGAUGGAUUUAGUGUUGGUGUCAGCAUCAGGCUACUGAAGGCCA
rnacentral:misc_RNA from 1 species